rnacentral:lncRNA from 1 species
AUGAUGUUCAGCUGGCACAAGACAUUCACCGUUGGAGCUCUGUGGAGAAGAGGCAAGAAGAGCCCUCCCUCUGAGGACAAAGUCGUGCUGACUCACAUGAAGAUGCUAAGCUAUGCAGGGAGUCAGGAUCUGGAGCCUCCUGCAGCUUCAGAUUGUGCAGAAGAAUCCAGGCUUCCCCAAGUCAACAUCCAGGGAAACCUUGAUGUAACAGACACUCCAGCAAAUUCAGAUUACACAGCUACCCUGUCUGAUCUCAGCACCUUGGAGACCCAGUGCCGGCUUCACAGAUUCUCCAAAUUUGAAUCUGAGGACUCUGGGGUUGAGUUGCCAAGUGGGGCUAAUUCUCCAUCCACACCAAAGGGCUCUGAGAAGAGUUUUGUGCUUCACAGUAGAGACUCUUCUUGUGACUCUGGAGUGCUCAGUGCCUCUUCCUCUCCAGAAAUUGACCACAUUAUAAUGAGAGCAUGUCAAGACCCUGGAGAAGCUAAUCCCAACAGGAAUGCUCCAGAGAGCAAAAAUCAAGUGGAGCAGUACAGCCAGGUGAUAGACUCUAUGCAGAUUCCUGCAUCUUCCUUGGAAGAUUUCAGCAAUUGUCAGAAGGGAGAAAGUCCUGAUCAACUUUUUGGCCAAAGCAAAGGGCAGUCUUUAGAAGAGGAACCCAGCAAAGAGACAGACCUCCCCAUUCAUGAUACUCCUCCAACUGUGCCUCCCAUGGAAGAGCAAAAGACUACCACUAGCCAUUACAAAGAGACCUUUGGCAGCAUGCAGGAUCUUCAAAUUCAUGGAAAUCAACUUAAGAAAUAUCCCACGAGUGACAGUCUGGACGAGUACAUGGAUGAGUGCUGUCGAUUAAGUGAGGUGAAUCAAGGGAACACCAAGGUGCUUGGCUCUGGCCUCGGGUAUCUGGAACACAUCUGUCAGCUCAUCGAGAAAAUUGGACAACUACAGGAGCACAACCUCCGGCUCCAAAAACAAGUGUGCAGCUUGCAGAAAGAGCAGAAGAUGUACCAGAUAAAGGAGGAGUAUUUUCUGCAGCACUGCUCCUGUGGAGCUGCCAGCAUCUUGCUCAAUUCGUACCAGGAGGUGAAGAAACUUUUUACUGGGAGGAGCAGACCUCAUAGUCUCUUGGUUCAGAAUGGAAACCACUCUGAUCUUUCAAUCAUUCCAGAAAUAGCAGUCCACAGCGAAAAGCUGAGCAACUACAGAGGGACCGGGAUUUUGCUCCUUGUAUCAUGUGAGUACAAGUCUCCUCUGAGGGAUGGAGAGGGGCCAGUGGUAUGGAGAUCUACUUGA